rnacentral:rRNA from 1 species
GACAGAGGGUGCAAGCGUUGUUCGGAAUUACUGGGCGUAAAGCGUGUGUAGGCGGCUUUGCAAGUCGGAUGUGAAAGCCCUGGGCUCAACCCAGGAAGUGCACUCGAUACUGCAGGGCUUGAGUAUCGGAGAGGUUGGUAGAAUUCUCGGUGUAGAGGUGAAAUUCGUAGAUAUCGAGAGGAAUACCGGCGGCGAAGGCGGCCAACUGGACGAAUACUGACGCUGAGACACGAAAGCGUGGGGAGCAAACAGG